GAAUUAUUCUUUAUAUGUUAGAUUAAAAAGUAAAUUAGUUCUUCUGUUAAAAGUUUUAUCUAUUUUUACUACUAAAAACUAAUCCACGUAUGUCAGAAUGAGGUAAAUGUGGCAUGUCAUGUGUAACUAUUUGGUUGUUCUAUUGUCCUGCCAAUUUUAACAGUAAAAAUGGAUGAAAUUUUUAACAAAAAGGACUGGUUUACUCUUUGAUCUAACGUACAAAUACUAAUU
rnacentral:pre_miRNA from 1 species